GGAGGCUUCCUUGGGGCUGGGAGGAGGCCUCAAGGCCUGCACCCCGAACCUGCUUUUCAGGGGGCAGCUGGGGAGCCGUGGCACCUGGGCGGGUGGCAAGGCCCUGGCGCUCACAGCCCCUGGGAGAUCUGAGCAGGGAGGCGGCAGGGGCAGGGAGACUCAGCAGGCCCCAGGCAAAAGGGCUCAGCCCUCUGCACACAGAGGCCCUUCCAGGCUUGCAGGGCUGGCUCCAGCCGGAGGGUCCUGGACACCAGGCCCACCGGGAGGCCAGUGGAAGGCUGUCACCCAGGGCUGAGGGGGUCAGAGGAGGUGCUGGAAGGGGCCGGGCUGGUGGCUGGUGGCCGGAGGGAGGUGGGUAAAACCCAGGUGCCAGAGGCCACGCUUGGGCACCAGCUGGGGGAUGGGAGGAAGGGAGGAGCAGGGAGGUUUUAAUGGAGCCUGGUGGGUGAUGGGGGGAGACAGAGGACAGCAGGGUCAAGCCUGGUGGAAGCACCUGCAAUCCCAGGACUGUGGGAGGCUGAGGCAGGAAGGUUUAGAGUUCUCAAGUUCAAAUUACGCCCUGACAUUAUGACUCACACACACACACACACACCAAAGUAGCUGGGGAUGAAGUUCAGUGUGAAGACCACAGUUCUAAUAAGAAGAGAGAGAGAGAGGCUCUCCCACCCUCUCUGGACACCCAGUGCUAAAUGCCCUGAGCAGAGGCUGCCCAGAGCCUGGCAGGGAGGCAAGGAUGCAGGGGACAGCAGCAAGGUGAGGACCUGGACAGCAGAGGCAGCAAGAAAGCAGGUCCCAGGCCCGCUGUCUGUGACUUUGCCUUGGUGCCUACGCCGGAGGAGAAGAGUUCGGCGCCACACCUGCUCAGCUCCUGGCUCACCCCAGUUUCCCCAGACCCUCAGAGCCCCAGCUUCCUUGGCCGUCGUGGCACCUGCCCCGAGGACUGGUGGCCGGGUAGAGGACCCCGCGCGGGGUGCCGGGUAAUAUGGAACGGCCAGCAUGCCUGGCCGUUGGUCCCACACACCGGAGAGACAGAUGCACUCUACCCACCAUGGAGAAGCGGGAAACGGAGGCUCACAGAAGUUCAAGGGAGUUGCUCACCGUCACCCCGCGAUUCUAACCCCAAGCCUGGGUUCCUAGCAAGGAGAUGGGUGGGUGGGGAGACAGGUGCAGGACCCACAGCCUGCUGUUUGGUUUGAGAGGGGCUGGCAUGCUCCUUCCAGCUCUCCUGGCCUCUCUGCCCACCUCACCGCCCAGAAGAGUCAGAGCAGCACCCAGGAAGCACC
rnacentral:lncRNA from 1 species